AACGAACGCUGGCGGCGUGCCUAACACAUGCCAGUCGAACGGUAACAGUCCUUCGGGAGCUGACGAGUGGCGCACGGGCUGAGUAACGCGUGGAUAUCUGCCUAUUACUGGGGGACAACUACCGGAAACUGUAGCUAAUACCGCCUAAUCUCUACGGAGCAAAGCAGGGGACCUUUCGGGGCCUUGCGCUGAUAGAUGAGUCCGCGUCUGAUUAGCUAGUUGGCAAGGUAAUGGCUAACCAACGCGAUGAUCCAGUAACUGGUUUGAGAGGAUGAUCAGUCACACUGGAACUGACACACGGUCCAGACUCCUACGGGAGGCAGCCGUGGGGAAUAUUGCACCAUGGGCGAAAGCCUGAUGCAGCAACGCCCCGUGGAGGAUGACGCAUUUCGGUGUGCAAACUCCUUUUAUAUGGGAAGAUAAUGACCGUACCCUAUGAAUAAGCACCGGCUAACUCCGUGCCAGCAGCCGCGGUAAUACCGAGGGUGCAAGCGUUACUCGGAAUCACUGGGCGUAAAGCGCGCGCAGGCCGGUUUGUAAGUUGGAACUGAAAUCCUAUGGCUCAACCCUAGAACUGCUUCCAAAACUACUUACCUASAGAUYUGGGAGGGGGAAGAKGGAAUUMGKUGUGUWKGGGUMAGAWUCSGUGGAGAUAACUAGGAAURCCAAAAGCGAAGGCGAUYUUCUGGAACAGUACUGACGCUGAGGCGCGMAAGCGUGGGGAGCAAACAGGAUUAGAUACCCYGGUAGUGCACGCCGUAAACGAUGAAUGUUGGUCGUCGGGAUGCAAGUCAUUUCGGUGAUGCAGGUAACACAUUAAACAUUCGGCCUGGGGAGUACGGUGGCAAGAUUGAAACUCAAAGGAAUAGACGGGGACCCGCACAAGUGGUGGAGCAUGUGGUUUAAUUCGAAGAUACGAGAAGAACGGUGCCUAGCCUUGACAUUGAUAGAACACACUAGAGAUAGAGUGGUGCCAUUGGGGGAGCUUGAAAACAGGUGCUGCACGGCUGUCGUCAGCUCGGGUCGUGAGAUGUUGGGUUAAGUCCCGCAACGAGCGCAACCCUCGUUCUUAGUUAGUAGACGGUUGCGGGCCGGAGGAGCUCUAAUGAAGACGUGCACUUCGUAAGGAGGAGGAAGGUGAGGACGACGUCAAGUCAUCAUGGCCCUACGUCUAGGGCUACACACGUGCUACAAUGGGCAGGACAAUGAGACGCAAUACCGCGAGGUGGAGCAAAUCUAUAAACCUGCUCUCAGUUCGGAUAGGACUCUGCAACUCGAGUCCUUGAGAGCUGGAGAUCACUAGUAAUCGUAGAUCAGCAAUGCUACGGUGAAUACGUUCCCGGGUCU
rnacentral:rRNA from 1 species